UACAUAGGGGACGAGCGUUGUCCGGAAUUACUGGGCGUAAAGGGCGCGCAGGCGGUAUAUCAAGUCAGCUGUCAAAGACUGGGGCUCAACCCUGGUAUGCGGUUGAAACUGAUAUGCUGGAGUGCUGUAGAGGCAAGUGGAAUUCCCAGUGUAGCGGUGAAAUGCGUAGAUAUUGGGAAGAACACCGGUGGCGAAGGCGACUUGCUGGGCAGCAACUGACGCUGAGGCGCGAAAGCCAGGGGAGCAAACGGGAUUA
rnacentral:rRNA from 1 species